GAUGAACGCUGGCGGCGUGCCUAAUACAUGCCAGUCGAGCGAACAGACGAGGAGCUUGCUCCUCUGACGUUAGCGGCGGACGGGUGAGUAACACGUGGAUAACCUACCUAUAAGACUGGGAUAACUUCGGGAAACCGGAGCUAAUACCGGAUAAUAUAUUGAACCGCAUGGUUCAAUAGUGAAAGACGGUUUUGCUGUCACUUAUAGAUGGAUCCGCGCCGCAUUAGCUAGUUGGUAAGGUAACGGCUUACCAAGGCAACGAUGCGUAGCCGACCUGAGAGGGUGAUCGGCCACACUGGAACUGAGACACGGUCCAGACUCCUACGGGAGGCAGCAGUAGGGAAUCUUCUGCAAUGAGCGAAAGCCUGACGGAGCAACGCCGCGUGAGUGAUGAAGGUCUUCGGAUCGUAAAACUCUGUUAUUAGGGAAGAACAAAUGUGUAAGUAACUAUGCACGUCUUGACGGUACCUAAUCAGAAAGCCACGGCUAACUACGUG
rnacentral:rRNA from 1 species